AUGGGUGCAGCCAAAGCAUGGAAAUGGUUCAAGAACUUUCAUCCCCUGCUUGUUGUGGCAUCUGGUCAUGACAUUAAAGAUGAAUUGUCUCCUGGAGGGGAGGUGGCAUUAAACCUAAUGAGAUGCAUAGAGCGAAUGCCAAGUGGAAAGGAACGAAGGAUGUACCGUGAGAAGAAGAUUAUGAUGAUACUUGACCCAACGGAGACAGAACCGGCAGAUGAGAUAAAAAGGAAGCAUGAGGGACUGGCAAAGCAAUUCCAUGUUUGGUUCUGUACCCUUUUCAACGAUAUAUUCGGUGCUGGGUUGGUUGAGACGACCGGAUGGAAAUUCGUGUACCCUUUGGAGGAUAGUGGGGGUUUAUGUCGUGCACUGCAUUCUUCAGUUCACUGGUCUGUACCUGAGAUCUACUCUAAACCAGGAGCAGAUCGAGUAAGUAUUUAUCUUUUGACCCAAAAAAACUGCAGCUCAUCCCUUGGGUUGCAGUGGGGUGAAAGGUGGCCUUCAUAUUAG
rnacentral:rRNA from 1 species